rnacentral:rRNA from 1 species
AAUUGACCUCGGAUCAGGUAGGGAUACCCGCUGAACUUAAGCAUAUCAAUAAGCGGAGGAAAAGAAACCAACAGGGAUUGCCUCAGUAACGGCGAGUGAAGCGGCAACAGCUCAAAUUUGAAAUCUGGCCCCGUCGGGGUCCGAGUUGUAAUUUGUAGAGAGUGUUUCGGGGGAGACCACGGUCUAAGUUCAUUGGAACAUGGCGUCAUAGAGGGUGAGAAUCCCGUAUGUGACUGUGGCUCGAGCCCAUGUGAAGCCUCUUCGACGAGUCGAGUUGUUUGGGAAUGCAGCUCAAAAUGGGUGGUAAAUUUCAUCUAAAGCUAAAUACUGGCUGGAGACCGAUAGCGCACAAGUAGAGUGAUCGAAAGAUGAAAAGCACUUUGGAAAGAGAGUCAAACAGUACGUGAAAUUGUUGAAAGGGAAGCGCUUGCAACCAGACCUGUCCGUAGGUGAUCAGCCGCUGUUCUCAGCGGUGCACUCGCUCUGCGAUCAGGCCAGCAUCGGUUUCGGCGGUUGGAUAAAGGCCUUGGGAAUGUAGCUCCCUUCGGGGAGUCUUAUAGCCCUCGGUGCAAUGCGGCCAGCCGGGACCGAGGACCGCGCUUCGGCUAGGAUGCUGGCGUAAUGGUUGUAAGCGACCCGUCUUGAAACACGGACCAAGGAGUCUAACAUCUAUGCGAGUGUUUGGGUGUUAAACCCAUGCGCGGAAUGAAAGUGAACGGAGGUGAGAACCCUUUAGGGCGCAUCAUCGACCGAUCCAGAUGUCUUCGGAUGGAUUUGAGUAUGAGCAUAGCUGUUGGGACCCGAAAGAUGGUGAACUAUGCCUGAAUAGGGUGAAGCCAGAGGAAACUCUGGUGGAGGCUCGCAGCGGUUCUGACGUGCAAAUCGAUCGUCAAAUUUGGGUAUAGGGGCGAAAGACUAAUCGAACCAUCUAGUAGCUGGUUCCUGCC